rnacentral:lncRNA from 1 species
UCAAAGAAGUGGAGAGGAGGCAGAGGGCGGUCGGAGAGGCGUAGGGCUGAGCUCGAAGGCGAGCAGCGAGCUAGAAAAAGGGAGAAAGAGAGAUUGAGAGAAAAAGAGAUUGAAAAAAGAAAGCGACUGAGACUCUGAGAGAGAGCGAUUGAAAGAAGAGAGAGAAACAAAAACAGAAAGAGAAAGAGACAACAUGAGUUG